rnacentral:rRNA from 1 species
GACGUAGGGCGCGAGCGUUGUCCGGAUUUAUUGGGCGUAAAGGGCGCGUAGGCGGGAUGGCAAGUCGGUCGUGAAAUCUCUCGGCUCAACCGAGAAACGUCGGCUGAUACUGCCGUUCUGAGGGAUGCAGAGGAGACUGGAAUUCCCGGUGUAGCGGUGAAAUGUGUAGAUAGUCGGGAGGAACACCAACGGCGAAGGCAGCUCUCUGGGACGUUACUGAACGCUGAGACGCGAAAGCGUGGGGAGCAAACAGG